CGGGGUGUGGCGCAGCUUGGUAGCGCGCGUCGUCGGGACGACGAGGCCGCAGGUUCAAAUCCUGUCACCCCGACCA
rnacentral:tRNA from 1 species